GUAACGAUGAUGAGAAGCUAACAUGUAAGAGGAGCCAUCUUUGUGGUGGCUCUUUGAUGAAAUACCCACUUCUUAACGCUUGGCUUCUGAGUUCG
rnacentral:snoRNA from 1 species